UGUCUUAUGGUUAACCUUACUCACCCCACUCUUUAUUUUUCCACCCUCCCUCUCUAUAAAGCUGGUAGACAGAUUAUAUGUUGUAGAGUGGUCCUUGAGAGACCUUUGUAUGAAGGGUAUGGCCUUUUUCCCAACCUCUCUCUCUCUCUCUCUCUCUCUCUCUCUCUCUCUCUCUCUCUUAUUACUGUAUACUGGCUAGGUAGAAACUAGAAAGGCACACAAGAAGGGAUGUUCUGGCAGGCCAAAGGAUUCCUCUUUGGUUUGGAGCUGAGAUCUAAAGAGACUGUAAUUACAAGUCCUCGCCAUGCUUUUCCACAGCUUUCUUGAACUUCAAUUCUCUGCUGUCUAAAUCUCUUUCAGGAUUAGCACCAUGGAAGCUCAAGAAAGCUGUGGGAGACCAUGGCAAUUCUGGACUUAACCAUUUCAACUUCCCCAAAAUGUUUGCAGACAACAUGAAAAAUGAUUUCUACUUUUUCACCACAGAUCCUGUGAUUAUCCACGCUACACGAGCAAGCUAGAAGAAACAAAGCAAUUUUGGCAGUCCUGUAAUUGUGAUUGGAAUGGUUGUUGAAGACCUACUUAUAUGUGUAUCGAUUCAGUAUUUUUUUACAAUGAGUUUGUUUAUCUACCUGGUAUAUGUACGGGGGAUUUUCUAGUAUGCAUUAGUGUAUAACAUCUACCGACACCCAGUGACUGUAGGAUCCUUGGAUGGACAUCUAACACCCUAUUUAACUGGUGUUUGCCAAUUGUCAUACACCAGAGCAUAGUAGAAUUGUUUUUUCAAUAGUUCACAAUAUUCCAGUAAGUUGAUCAUCUAGUUAGCUGGCUUUAACUUUUGUCAUCAACACAUUACACUGGAUUUGGUAAAAACCCAUUGUUCCUUUUCUCUGUCACAUUGCUUCAUAUGUACUGUUUCAGCAAAGUAUAGUUUCAUUGGCAAAGCUUGGUAACAUCUUCAAUUAUAAAUUGAAUAUGGCCGAUUCAGCAACUAUAUGAUAUUUGGAAAAUUGAAAUCGAUGGUAAUGAUGGAUGCAAUAUAUAUUAAUAGCAUAUUGUGACCAAUUUAUAACAGCCAAAUGAUGACUUGCAUUCAAGUCUCACACAUGCUCACAGGUACCACGCUUUAACUACUUCAUUACAACUUAACAUAUUGUUACUCUCACAUUUACUGAAUUCAGCAUUGAUAAUCUUUGAAAUAGAAUCUGAAAACCGAAUAGUUCGGAUUGGUUUACACACAGAAAAUUAUUAGAAGUCCUUAAAUUUCUAAAAUAAGAACACCAUUAUUAACCAGAGUAGUGCAGUGGAAAAUGGAAGUGCAAUGAAUGUCUUAACAAGGCCUCUUGCUAACUAGCUAGCCAGGACCAUGUCCACGCAAAUCACUUCAGAAGAGGCCAGAACAAUUAAGGAGGCAUGCAUUGGCUCUUCUGGAGUAGAAUUAAAUUAACAAGGCCGCACUAAUUUCUGUGCCUAGUUAUCAGGAACUGGGGCACCAUAGAUCCCUUUCCUUCCAUAGGGUAGGGCCGGGGAUUCAAACUUUAUCGAAGCCUCUUCCGACUUAAGAAGAAACCUAACCCUAGACUAAGAAUUAGGGGGAAUUCGAACUUUGUUGGAACUGCUUUCAACGUAAAAAGAACUGUAAACCUAGACUAAGAGCUAGUUGGUCAACAUAUAGCUCAUUUAUGAAAAUAAUCGAGUUACUCAAAUCAAAACUUAAACCUGAACGGAAUUAAAAUAGUGGAUGCUUGGGGAAGUGACCUAGAUGCAGUUGAGAUGAAAGUCCAAAUGUAUUCAAUCAACUUAGGCUAUAAAGCCAGUUAUCACUUUUUUACUGGUAUCCUGACUUAUCUUUCAAGUUUUUCAGACCAGAUAAACCACUGCACUGAGUCAUAUACAUUGAGCAUAAAAAAUGUCCUAUAUCUUCAGAUUGAGUGAACGUGAGAUUCUCUCGCGCAAUCAAAAAAUACGGACCAGUUGCAGCCAGUUAUCACAGUAGAUUUAAGGAUCAUUGUACAUUAUUUGCAAGUUAGUCUGAAAUAAAAGGGUAUUUAUACCAUAUAAUCCAAAUUGCCACUAGGAUGGACACAUGAGGCAUCUGCUAAAGCAAACACAAGACAAAAUGUUAGAAUCCAAAAAAGAGCAUGAGUUGACGUUUUUAAAAGUUGCACGAGUCAUGGCCUUCUCUUCGAGUGAAAGAAGACCAUCUACAGCAUCUCAAGACAUAUAUAUAUAUAUAUAUAUAUAUAUAUUUAUAUAGGGUUAUAUAUACAGUUGAAUAUAUCGAUACACUAGCAUCAACAAGCAAUGGAAGAAUAUGUAGUGAAAUGGUUUAGCAGACUGAUACUACCUAGUGUUGAUCAGUGGCAGAAAAAUCCCGUUUAAAAUGGCAAUGGCUAAUUAAUCUCUUAAGGAAAGUAAUGAAGAAAGCCUGUGUGAAGAAACGAUGGCUGAAACAUAUAUAUUUUCAAACCAUGACGGCCAACGGAAAGAGAUACGGCAUAGAGAAGCAAUACCUUUGCCACCGUGUGUUGGGAUUUGACCGAUCGACCAAUCAAGCAAUAUUAUCAGGUUGAAGUGAUUGUCUUUUCAUAUCAAGUGAAAGUGAUCAGCAACGAUAAAUAGCAACUUUCUUGACCAUUAUAUAUAGGUACUACUUAAGGUAGGUCGUACCUUCUCAUGAUGAUCAAUCUCAGCAUAUAUACCAGAGGUUCACCAACAACUAUACCAUGAUAGCAUCUAAAGUGGUACAAAUAUAUAGGCACUAACGGUAAUAAUUCAUAAACACACAAA